UACCAGCUUGUGAUUUAGAAAGGUGCAUUCA
rnacentral:piRNA from 1 species